rnacentral:rRNA from 1 species
AGAGUUUGAUCCUGGCUCAGGACGAACGCUGGCGGCGUGCUUAACACAUGCAAGUCGAACGGAAAGGCCUCUUCGGAGGUACUCGAGUGGCGAACGGGUGAGUAACACGUGGGUAAUCUGCCCUGCACUUCGGGAUAAGCCUGGGAAACUGGGUCUAAUACCGAAUACGACCAUUUAGCGCAUGCUUUAUGGUGGAAAGCUUUUGCGGUGUGGGAUGGGCCCGCGGCCUAUCAGCUUGUUGGUGGGGUGACGGCCUACCAAGGCGACGACGGGUAGCCGGCCUGAGAGGGUGUCCGGCCACACUGGGACUGAGAUACGGCCCAGACUCCUACGGGAGGCAGCAGUGGGGAAUAUUGCACAAUGGGCGCAAGCCUGAUGCAGCGACGCCGCGUGGGGGAUGAAGGCCUUCGGGUUGUAAA